CAUGCAAGUAGGACGCACAGUUUAUACCGUAGCUUGCUACACCAUAGACUGUGAGUUGCGAACGGGUGAGUAACGCGUAGGUAACCUGCCUAUUAGAGGGGGAUAACUAUUGGAAACGAUAGCUAAUACCGCAUAACAGUAUGUAACACAUGUUAGAUGCUUGAAAGAUGCAAUUGCAUCGCUAGUAGAUGGACCUGCGUUGUAUUAGCUAGUAGGUAGGGUAAAGGCCUACCUAGGCAACGAUACAUAGCCGACCUGAGAGGGUGAUCGGCCACACUGGGACUGAGACACGGCCCAGACUCCUACGGGAGGCAGCAGUAGGGAAUCUUCGGCAAUGGGGGGAACCCUGACCGAGCAACGCCGCGUGAGUGAAGAAGGUUUUCGGAUCGUAAAGCUCUGUUGUUAAGGAAGAACGAGUGUGAGAAUGGAAAGUUCAUACUGUGACGGUACUUAACCAGAAAGGGACGGCUAACUACGUGCCAGCAGCCGCGGUAAUACGUAGGUCCCGAGCGUUGUCCGGAUUUAUUGGGCGUAAAGCGAGCGCAGGCGGUUAGAAAAGUCUGAAGUGAAAGGCAGUGGCUCAACCAUUGUAGGCUUUGGAAACUGUUUAACUUGAGUGCAGAAGGGGAGAGUGGAAUUCCAUGUGUAGCGGUGAAAUGCGUAGAUAUAUGGAGGAACACCGGUGGCGAAAGCGGCUCUCUGGUCUGUAACUGACGCUGAGGCUCGAAAGCGUGGGGAGCGAACAGGAUUAGAUACCCUGGUAGUCCACGCCGUAAACGAUGAGUACUAGGUGUUAGGUCCUUUCCGGGACUUAGUGCCGUAGCUAACG
rnacentral:rRNA from 1 species